rnacentral:rRNA from 1 species
GAUGAACGCUAGCGACAGGCUUAACACAUGCAAGUCGAGGGGUAACAGGGUAGCAAUACCGCUGACGACCGGCGCACGGGUGAGUAACGCGUAUGCAACCUGCCUAUAACUGGGGAAUAGCUCCCUGAAAGGGGAAUUAACACCGCAUAACACUAUUGAUUCGCAUGGAUUGGUAGUUAAAUGUAGCGAUACAGGUUAUAGAUGGGCAUGCGUGACAUUAGCUAGUUGGUGAGGUAACGGCUCACCAAGGCUACGAUGUCUAGGGGUUCUGAGAGGAAGGUCCCCCAACUGGUACUGAGACACGGACCAGACUCCUACGGGAGGCAGCAGUGAGGAAUAUUGGUCAAUGGGCGCAAGCCUGAACCAGCCAUGUCGCGUGCAGGAAGACUGCCCUAUGGGUUGUAAACUGCUUUUAAGUAGAAGAAACACAUCUACGUGUAGAUGUCUGCCAGUAUACUAUGAAUAAGCAUCGGA